AGGUAAUUAGUUUAAUAAAACAUUUGAUUUCGGCUCAAAAGCUUGUGGUUAAAGUCCAUAAUUACCUA
rnacentral:tRNA from 2 species